ACCUUCUUUUUCCCAGGGAAAUAGCGAAUGUGACGGUACCUGUCAGAAAAAGCGCCGGCUAACUACGUGCCAGCAGCCGCGGUAAUACGUAGGGCGCAAGCGUUAUCCGGAAUUAUUGGGCGUAAAGAGCUCGUAUGCGGUUUGUCGCGUCUGCUGUGAAAUCCCGAGGCUCAACCUCGGGUCUGCAGUGGGUACGGGCAGACUAGAGUGCGGUAGGGGAGAUUGGAAUUCCUGGUGUAGCGGUGGAAUGCGCAGAUCUCAGGAGGAACACCGAUGGCGAAGGUAGAUCUCUGGGCCGUUACUGACGCUGAGGAGCGAAAGGGUGGGGAGCAAACAGGCUUAGAUACCCUGGUAGUCCACCCCGUAAACGUUGGGAACUAGUUGUGGGGUCCAUUCCACGGAUUCCGUGACGCAGCUAACGCAUUAAGUUCCCCGCCUGGGGAGUACGGCCGCAAGGCUAAAACUCAAAGGAAUUGACGGGGACCCGCACAAGCGGCGGAGCAUGCGGAUUAAUUCGAUGCAACGCGAAGAACCUUACCAAGGCUUGACAUAUACUAGAACGGGCCCAGAAAUGGUCAACUC
rnacentral:rRNA from 1 species